GACAGCUGACAGAGUACUUUAUUUAUGUCAGAGAGAACCAACAUCACAGUGGAAAGUUUGCAUUCCUCAUUCUGCAGAUGCUGCUCAUUGGACAGUUCUUCAGGACCCACAUUCCUGUGCUUAUUAUCAUUCUUCUAAUACAGAGUUUAACAGUUUGCGUUGCAGAGCAGUCAGAGUUGAUUUGUUCACAUCAACCAAUCGUAGCCCUGGCUGGUGAUGAUGUCAUUCUACCACGUUACCUUGAUCUUCCAAUCAGUGCCAGUUCUGAGUCUGGGUCUGGCUGGACGGUGAG